CAACCCUCAAGCACUGCUUGGCGUUGGGGCGCUACGCGCUAAGCGUAGGCCCCUAAAAUCAGUGGCGGGCUCGCUGUAGCUCCGGGCGUAGUAGCAACACCUCGCCCUGGGACCGCGGCGCGCUCCAGCCGUUAAACCCCCACUAUACUGAA
rnacentral:misc_RNA from 1 species